GACGAACGCUGGCGGCGUGCCUAACACAUGCAAGUCGAACGGGGUUGUUCCUUCGGGGACAACUUAGUGGCGAACGGGUGAGUAACGCGUGAGGAACCUACCUCUCAGUGGGGGACAACAGUUGGAAACGACUGCUAAUACCGCAUAAUGUUUUCGGACCGCAUGAUCUGAAAACCAAAGAUUUAUUGCUGAGAGAUGGCCUCGCGUCUGAUUAGCUAGUUGGUGGGGUAACGGCCCACCAAGGCGACGAUCAGUAGCCGGUCUGAGAGGAUGAACGGCCACAUUGGGACUGAGGUACGGCCCAGACUCCUACGGGAGGCAGCAGUGGGGAAUAUUGGGCAAUGGGGGAAACCCUGACCCAGCAACGCCGCGUGAAGGAAGAAGGCCUUCGGGUUGUAAACUUCUUUUACCAGGGACGAAGAACGUGACGGCACCUGGAGAAAAAGCAACGGCUAACUACGUGCCAGCCGCCGCCGUAAGAC
rnacentral:rRNA from 1 species